UGGGGAAUUUUGCACAAUGGGGGAAACCCUGAUGCAGCGACGCCGCGUGAUUUAGAAGGCCUUCGGGUUGUAAAAAUCUUUUCUAUGGGAAGAAAAUGACAGUACCAUAGGAAUAAGGACCGGCUAAUUACGUGCCAGCAGCCGCGGUAAUACGUAAGGUCCGAGCGUUGUCCGGAAUCAUUGGGCGUAAAGGGUACGUAGGCGGGUAAGCAAGUUAGAAGUGAAAUCCUAUAGCUCAACUAUAGUAAGCUUUUAAAACUGCUCAUCUUGGGUAUGGAAGGGAAAGUGGAAUUCCUAGUGUAGCGGUGAAAUGCGCAGAUAUUAGGAGGAAUACCGGUGGCGAAGGCGACUUUCUGGCCAUAACCUGACGCUGAGGUACGAAAGCGUGGGUAGCAAACAGG
rnacentral:rRNA from 1 species